rnacentral:rRNA from 1 species
CGCCGCAAGGGGUUGCCUCAGUAGCGGCGAGUGAAGCGGCAAGAGCUCAGAUUUGAAAUCGUGCUUUGCGGCACGAGUUGUAGAUUGCAGGUUGGAGUCUGUGUGGAAGGCGGUGUCCAAGUCCCUUGGAACAGGGCGCCCAGGAGGGUGAGAGCCCCGUGGGAUGCCGGCGGAAGCAGUGAGGCCCUUCUGACGAGUCGAGUUGUUUGGGAAU